rnacentral:rRNA from 1 species
GGCGUUAAGUUGCAGGGUAUAGACCCGAAACCCGGUGAUCUAGCCAUGGGCAGGUUGAAGGUUGGGUAACACUAACUGGAGGACCGAACCGACUAAUGUUGAAAAAUUAGCGGAUGACUUGUGGCUGGGGGUGAAAGGCCAAUCAAACCGGGAGAUAGCUGGUUCUCCCCGAAAGCUAUUUAGGUAGCGCCUCGUGAAUUCAUCUCCGGGGGUAGAGCACUGUUUCGGCAAGGGGGUCAUCCCGACUUACCAACCCGAUGCAAACUGCGAAUACCGGAGAAUGUUAUCACGGGAGACACACGGCGGGUGCUAACGUCCGUCGUGAAGAGGGAAACAACCCAGACCGCCAGCUAAGGUCCCAAAGUCAUGGUUAAGUGGGAAACGAUGUGGGAAGGCCCAGACAGCCAGGAUGUUGGCUUAGAAGCAGCCAUCAUUUAAAGAAAGCGUAAUAGCUCACUGGUCGAGUCGGCCUGCGCGGAAGAUGUAACGGGGCUAAACCAUGCACCGAAGCUGCGGCAGCGACACUAUGUGUUGUUGGGUAGGGGAGCGUUCUGUAAGCCUGUGAAGGUGUGCUGUGAGGCAUGCUGGAGGUAUCAGAAGUGCGAAUGCUGACAUAAGUAACGAUAAAGCGGGUGAAAAGCCCGCUCGCCGGAAGACCAAGGGUUCCUGUCCAACGUUAAUCGGGGCAGGGUGAGUCGACCCCUAAGGCGAGGCCGAAAGGCGUAGUCGAUGGGAAACAGGUUAAUAUUCCUGUACUUGGUGUUACUGCGAAGGGGGGACGGAGAAGGCUAUGUUGGCCGGGCGACGGUUGUCCCGGUUUAAGCGUGUAGGCUGGUUUUCCAGGCAAAUCCGGAGAAUCAAGGCUGAGGCGUGAUGACGAGGCACUACGGUGCUGAAGCAAUAAAUGCCCUGCUUCCAGGAAAAGCCUCUAAGCAUCAGGUAACAUCAAAUCGUACCCCAAACCGACACAGGUGGUCAGGUAGAGAAUACCAAGGCGCUUGAGAGAACUCGGGUGAAGGAACUAGGCAAAAUGGUGCCGUAACU